rnacentral:tRNA from 1 species
CCUGAUAGCUCAGUUGGUAAAGAAUCUGCCUGCAAUGCAGGAGACCCAGGUUCAAUUCCUGGGUCAGGA